rnacentral:rRNA from 1 species
UUUCUCCUACGGGGCGCAGCAGUGGGGAAUAUUGCACAAUGGGGGAAACCCUGAUGCAGCAACGCCGCGUGAGUGAAGAAGUAUUUCGGUAUGUAAAGCUCUAUCAGCAGGGAAGAAAAAAGACGGUACCUGACUAAGAAGCCCCGGCUAACUACGUGCCAGCAGCCGCGGUAAUACGUAGGGGGCAAGCGUUAUCCGGAUUUACUGGGUGUAAAGGGAGCGUAGACGGCCGUGCAAGUCUGAUGUGAAAACCCGGGGCUCAACCCCGGGACUGCAUUGGAAACUGCAUGGCUGGAGUGUCGGAG